rnacentral:rRNA from 1 species
AUUGAACGCUGGCGGCAGGCCUAACACAUGCAAGUCGAACGAGUGGCGGACGGGUGAGUAAUGCCUGGGAAUCUACCUUAUGGAGGGGGAUAACUACGGGAAACUGUAGCUAAUACCGCAUACCAUCGGAUGUGCCCAAGUGGGAUUAGCUAGUUGGUGGGGUAAAGGCUCACCAAGCCGACGAUCUCUAGCUGGUCUGAGAGGAUGACCAGCCACACCGGAACGGAGACACGGCCCGGACUCCUACGGGAGGCAGCAGUGGGGAAUAGUGUGCAAUGGGAGCAAGCCUGACGCAGCCAUGCCGCGUGAAUGAAGAAGGCCUUCGGGUUGUAAAGUACUUUCGGUGAGGAGGCGUUACUCACAGAAGAAGCACCGGCUAACUCCGUGCCAGCAGCCGCGGUAAUAC